rnacentral:rRNA from 1 species
CCCUUAGAUGUUCUGGGCCGCACGCGCGCUACACUGAUGCAUUCAACGAGUCUAAAACCUGGUCUGAUAGGGCUGGGUAAUCUUUUGAAUGUGCAUCGUGAUUGGGAUAGAUGAUUGCAAUUCUUCAUCUUCAACGAGGAAUGCCUAGUAAGCGCGAGUCAUCAGCUCGCGUUGAUUACGUCCCUGCCCUUUGUACACACCGCCCGUCGCUACUACCGAUUGAAUGGUUUAGUGAGGACUCCUGAUUGGCGCCGCCGCCCCGGCAACGGAGCAGCGGACUGCCGAAAAGUUGUUCAAACUUGAUCAUUUAGAGGAAGUAAAAGUCGUAACA